UCGCACACGCCAUUAGACCCAUAUAUUUACAUCUCUUUGUGAGAUUCACAAGUCAUGAUUGGGGAUUUACAUGAAGCAGGAAUUUCUAAUGUAACUGAAAGAAAAGGAAUGACUGAAAUAGAAGUUGUCAAAGUCAAAAAGAUAAAACCUCAAAGGCUAUUCACGUUUUUCCUUCUCAUACCUCUCCACCAUCUACAGGAGUCAUCUCUUCUUUCUUUCUCCUCUAGUCCUUCCAUAGUGCGUCAUCCAUACUCCUAUAGAAACCUUGUGAUCAACUAACUAUUCAUGUACCAGUCAGUAGAACCAACCAAUGACUAUAAACGUAAUUACUAAUUAUAGGAAGCUCGAGAGUAUAGAAAACAAAUAAAUUAAUAAACUUUCAGAUUUUUCACCUUAUUUAGUUGUUAGUUGAAAAAAACACACGUUAGCAAUAUCAAGUAUUUUGUUAUAUGUUUGAUGUGGUUGUAGGCUUGACACACCAUAGUUAAAAUCAUAGAUUUGGAAUCAAUGUAUUUUAAUUUUAGAAGUACGGUGAAUAUAUACACACACUUACUUAUGGUUUGGGAGAUAUUUGAUACAUAUGGGAAUAUUUUAAGCCUACGUGAGAUUCAUAUACAUGCAAAUAUAGUGAUUCGAUACAAAGGAGCGAAAUUUUAGGAUUUUUGAUUCCUCUCUCUCGCUGGUUUUGAUGGUUUUGGAGUCCAUCUUUCACAAAGGCCAACUCUAUCAUUGGCUGGCGCCGCUUCGUUUGGGGACCUGUUAGGAUUAUAGUAGGGUUUCCUCCGCUCCAAAUCUCCCUCUUGUAGGAGCAACAGGUACAACUUUCCUUUUUCAUAGUUUUUUCCCUUCACAGUUCCUUUGCCUGUCCCCGGUAAUGGUCUUUUCGUCCGUUGUGUUGUGUAAUAUAUUAACAUAUAAUUUUUUUACGCUUUUGCGUUUUUUUAGUGAUGUGACGAUGAUGUAUAUGGACCGUGUGUUCUCAAUUGUAUACUUUCAAAGGAACUAGUACCAUUCGUAUUGUUGAGAGGAUAAACACACAAGCGUUUAAAGUUUUUAACAUUGAUGAAGGGGUAGUAAACACGCGCUGCAAAAAGGUGAGACAAGGUAAAGCCGAGAGACGAGUGGUAUUAAGUUCGCUCAAAAAUAAAGUUAUAAAACCAGGGAAGCAAAGGCGGCCCGGGAAAAAAAAGAACCCAUCGCGGCCACCCGCCUCGUUCGCUUCCAUCCUCUCCGCAGUCCGCACCCGCGCGCGCGCGCUCGACUCCCGCACCAGCCGCGUCAUGGCGCCAUUCCAGCUGCGCUUCGGCCUCCGGAUGUCCCCCUCGCGCUCCUCCGACGAGGAGGAGGAAGACGACGAGGACGAGGAAGGGUUCGAGUACGAGGAGAUACUGAGCGACGACGGGACGGACUCGCCGCCGCCGCUGAUGAUGCAGGCGGAGAAGGGAGGGGGAGGGCUGGUCGGGGCGGUGGUGGGGGCGCUGCGGAGGUCGCUGGUGAUGUGCAGCGCCGGGAAGGUCGGGGAGGAGGAGGACAGCGAGGACGAGGAAGAGGAGGGGAUGGAGAUCGGGCGGCCCACGGACGUGCGGCACGUCUCCCACGUCACCUUCGACCGCUUCGGCGGCUUCCUCGGCCUCCCCGCCGACCUCGAGCCCGAAGUUCCCAGCCCCACGCCCAGCGCCAGGUGAGCUCGCCGGCGCUAACUCUCUGCAAUUCCUCUGUUUCUUCUACUCUUCGGUCUCUCUCUUUCAGUUUUCUGAGGAUUUUACCUGAAAGAAGCUAGUAGCUACGUACUCUACAUACCCAAAUAUUCUUUGGUACUUGUAUUUUUCAAUUUCACGCAGUGUAUUUUUCAAUUUCACGCAGAAAUAUGUGUUAGUAAAUUUGUUGUUUUAUCCUUCUCUGUUCUGUGUUCUCCAAUGCAAUUAGCGUAUAACCUCUUUACAAAAUAUAUUGUGUUCAUAGAAAGGCUCCCAAGAAAGUUGAUAGUACUAAUAUGAUGUUUCAGAACGAUGAUAGUGAGCUUUGGUUUCUUUUCUAGUAUGUUUAGUUGAUCGCUCAGAUGAUACAGGGUAGAAAGAGGGCGAUUUGUUUAAGGAUGUAAGAUUAAUUUAUUCCACAAGUGGAUCUAGUAAUUAAAAAAGGACAAGUAGUACCUUUUUAAUAAAAAGUUCAGUUCUUAAUUCUAGUAUGCGGUUAUAUAGUUAGAUUGCUGAGUCAAGAAGUACAUGCCAUCAAACAAGGAAUGGAAGUAUGGAACACUAUGAAGGUAUGUGAAGGUAUACGAUUCUGAAGAUAUAUGAGGGCAUAAGAGAAGAAUAACUCAUAUGUAGGAUUUGGUACAAUACUACCAUAUGACGGCCAUGGGUUGAACUUUCAACGGAUCAGACUUGAGUUACUUCGUUCUGUGCUUGAGCUUUAAGCAACGGGGCUGUUUGAGGUGGUUGGCCAGCAUGAGCAACAAAUGGGAAUCUUCAAACCUAUCUUUUUUAUUUUGGAUUAGUUCUCCUGUACUUUGCAUCAUCAUAUAUAGUAAUGUUCUGUGAAGUUUGUCCUUUUGCAUUUACAAAUAUCAUUUACACCAUCUUUUUAAGGUUGUUAACGUCAAAUCAGUAUUUGAUGUACAACCUAGUUAAAUGAGCUAGGAAUAUAAGACAUUGUCCUGUUGCUACUGCUGUUAUGUCAUAAUCUCUUUUUUACCCCUUUAACUUGUAGUGGUUACAGAAGUGAAGAUUCAAAGUUUAUUCACCUUAACUACGAUCCUUCCCUCCUUUUUCUUUUUCUUUUUUACCGUGAAACAGUAGGGGAGGCCUCUACCGUAUAUUAAUUUUCGAAAAGUUUAUGUACAUGAUACUUAACAAUUUCCAUGUCUAAUUUUCCAUGCAGUGUAAAUGUAUUUGGUGUUUCACCAACCUCUUUGCAAUGUUCAUUUGAUCACAAAGGAAAUAGCGUGCCCACAAUACUGUUGAUGAUGCAGAGGAAGUUGUAUGAACGAGAGGGACUUAAGGUAUGGCCACCGCAACCUAACGAUUAGCAUUAGAAAAGUCAGUAUUCAAGCCUUCGGAAUACUUAUCCAUUGUGUUCUUACUUCUUAGAUCGAAGGGAUCUUCAGAAUUAACGCAGAGAAUAGCCAGGAAAUCUGUGUCAGGAAACAACUAAACAGUGGUGUGGUUCCAGAUGAGGUUGACUUACACUGCCUUGCAGGGUUGAUAAAGGUAGCAUGAACUUCCUCAUCUCUCCUUAAUUUUUCCGGUCCACGGCCUGAGCUGUAUGAGGCAAAAAAGAUCGUUAUUAUUUAUCGGCAAUUUGCUCUUGUUUGUUUAGUUUUUCAGUACUGAGCAUUACCUCAGAUUGACAGACGACUAGGCAGUUGCAUCUAUGUAUGUGCAUCCCCUUUUUAUGCAAUCUGAACAUUUCAGAACCUGAAAUGUUUGCAGACAUGAAGGAAUACAGAAUAAUUGGUGCAAGGAACAGUACUUUUUAAGUAAAAAGUCGAAUAAGUAUUUGCAGGCAACUGACUAUUAGAUGUGCAUGCUAUUAGUCAUAUUUCUUGUACAUGGGUUAUUGGCUUACUGGAGGAUCUAUUCCAUGAUCACUAUAUUCCCUUUUUAUAGGCAUGGUUUCGGGAACUCCCAACCGGUGUAUUGGACUCACUGACACCGGAACAAGUAAUGCAUUGCAACACAGAAGAGGACUGUGCUCUCCUUGCUUCAAUGCUACCACCAGUGGAAGCCGCAUUACUCGAUUGGGCUAUCAAUCUGAUGGCUGAUGUUGUGGAGCAUGAAAACUACAACAAGAUGAAUGCUAGAAACAUCGCUAUGGUCUUUGCGCCAAACAUGACUCAGGUAUUAGAAACAACUCUGGAUUCUUUCGUUAGAAAAGCAUACACAUACACUAACCUGCAAUGUUUGUUUUCCAGAUGGCCGAUCCAUUGACUGCCCUGAUACAUGCAGUUCAGGUCAUGAAUUUCCUCAAGACAUUGAUCUUGAAGACUUUAAAGGAAAGAGAGGCAGCCGGAACACCUAAGACAACGGAACCAUGCUCCGGUUCUCCAAACGGACAAGAUAAACCUCCGACGCCAGAGAAUUUGGAGAGACCCAUCAUUUGUUCAGAUCAGAAAGGCAUAGAUAAACCUAUGUUUGAUAUGGCUACUUGUGAUCAGCUGCUGUUUGGACCUAAACAAUUCCUUGAUCAUCGUGAGAACAACAAAUUUGAAGGACCGGAGAAGCAUGACAUAGGCCAACCGAAGCGCCAUAGCGAAGCUUCUCCUCUUGGUAAUGAUUCGAAUAACCAAGUCAGCAGCCCUGGAAAAGAAUUUGGCAACAGAAAUGUGGAAGGCCUGUUCGACAAAUUUAGUUUUAGGAAAGGUGUCGAGAGGCUUUGCAGGCACCCUGUGUUCCAGUUGAGUAGGUCCAUGAAGAAGUCUGCAGACGUUGUGGUCUUUGAUGCUCCUGGAGAAGCAAGACAAGCUUGGGGUUUGAUAUGAUAAUGGUUGUAUAUGUAGUUGGUGUGGAUGUAAUGCUAUCUUUUCUCUGUCUUGUUUGUGUGAGCAGAAGCGAUUAGCAUGUUAGAUUUAUAGGUGCUGCAGGUUGUUGUGUGCAUUAUAACCAUUUACUUCUGACGAAAGCGUCUGCCUGUGGCUGCUACAAGUAAACGAAAGCCAGCUGAAUUCUGGCUCAGUACUGUAUACCUCAAUAGCUGCUGACCUAUUUAUUCUUCUUAUAACCGUCCAAAUUAAUCUACCCCCACAAAUAUCCCUUCCCAAUCCUAACAUGCAUCCAAACGCCACAGUAAUGCAACCACUGUCAGUGAACAGCAGUAUAAGAGCAUCCCCAUAGCUUAUCCAUAUUUGAUCCUCCAAAUACCUAUAUAGAUGAUUAUCCAAAAAAAGAUUCAUCAUUCAUAUUCCUUCCAACUCCAACAAAUAAUCUAUAUUACAUCAUGCAUAUCGCACCAUCCUGUAUUUUAAUAAUAUCUUCCAACUAACUUUAUAUUUGUAUUUUUAAGGGAUAUAUUUUGAACUACUAAAUUUUAACUGCGUUAUUUAUCGCAAUAAUAUUUUAAAAUGAGUAAAUUUUAACCGAUAUAUUUUUAAUAAAUAAUUUUUUAAUUGAUGAUGUAUUUACAUGAAUGGACUUCUAAUCCACAUUAGCUAGCUAGCGACUGACCUUAUCCUCUCGCUUAAAAAAAAAGAAAAACAGAAAAGAACGGACCUUCUCUCGCUAAAAAAAAAAAAGACCCUACCUUAUCCUCUCACGGGUGCGUGCGUGCGGCAGACGGAGGGGCGAUGCGGGACGGCGCGGGCGGCGCUGCAGGGCGGCGCGGG
rnacentral:lncRNA from 1 species